rfam:Vigna angularis cultivar Jingnong 6 scaffold374_41, whole genome shotgun sequence.
AGUUGUGUAAUGAGUACAUUGCUAACUAUUCUUUCGCCUUUUACUAAAGAAUAGCGUGUAGUUAAUAUGUGAAACAAACAUACCUUCACUUUUUGUGAGAGUUUUCCAAUUUUA